AUCCAAGCUACUACGGGUUGACGGUGGAUGCCUUGGCAGUAGGAGCCGAUGAAGGACGUGGAAGGCUGCGAUAAGCCUCGGAGAGCUGUCUAACAAGCUACGAUCCGGGGAUUUCCGAAUGGGGAAACCCAGCUGGGGUCAUGCCCAGUUACUCUGGUCUGAACACAUAGGACCAGUAGAGGCAACCAGGGGAAUUGAAACAUCUCAGUACCCUGAGGAAAGAAAAGCAAAUGCGACUCCCUGAGUAGCGGCGAGCGAAACGGGAAGAGUCUAAACCGGUGCGGUGUGAUAGCACGACGGCGUUGCCGUACCGGUGUCGUGGGACUCGCUAGACCAUACGUCGAAGUGGUCAGAGAGUUACAAAAUUUGGAGAUAGUGGAAUCUGUCUGGGAAGCAGACCCAUAGGGGGUAAUAGGCCCGUACACGAAAUCUCUCAAAUCUCUCAGCGAAGUUCCCAAGUAGCACGGGGCACGUGAAAUCCCGUGUGAAUCUGUGAGGACCACCUCAUAAGACUAAGUACUACCUACUGACCGAUAGCGGACAAGUACCGUGAGGGAAUGGUGAAAAGUACCCCGGUGAGGGGAGUGAAACAGUACCUGAAACCGUCAACUUACAAGCAGUGGGAGGGGUUCUUCGGAAUCCUGACCGCCUGCCUUUUGAAGAAUGAGCCAACGAGUUAUCGAUAUGUGGCGAGGUUAAGCCGAGAGGUGUAGCCGCAGCGAAAGCGAGUCUUAAUAGGGCGUCUAGUCGCAUGUCAUAGACCCGAAGCCUGGCGAUCUAUCCAUGGGCAGGGUGAAGCGAGGGUAAGACCUCGUGGAGGCCCGAACCCACCUAGGUUGAAAACUGGGGGGAUGACCUGUGGAUAGGGGUGAAAGGCCAAGCAAGCCAGGCGAUAGCUGGUUCUCCUCGAAAUAGCUUUAGGGCUAGCGUCGUAUGUUCCUCGUUGGGGGUAGAGCACUGAUUGGGUUAGGGGGCCAACAAGCUUACCGACCCCAGUCAAACUCCGAAUCCCAACGAGCUAAGUACGGCAGUCAGACUUUGUGGGAUAAGCCUCAUAGUCGAAAGGGAAACAGCCCAGACCGCCAGCUAAGGUCCCAAAAUCAGAACUAAGUGGGGAACGAUGUGGAGUUGCCCAAACAGCCAGGAGGUUGGCUUAGAAGCAGCCAUCCUUUAAAGAGUGCGUAA
rnacentral:rRNA from 1 species